UCCUCAAUAGCUCAGUCGGUGGGACAUGAGACUCACAACCUCAGAAUUGUGGGUUUGAGCCCCACGUUGGGCAA